GGAGGCUGCUGGAGCCGCCGGGCAGCUUCUCGGCGACUCCACGCGUGAAUGCAGAGAUGCUGCAGGGAGGCAGCGCUCACAAAAGCAGCUCCGCUCACAAAAAUACGGCCACACCGAGCAGACGUCUGCUUUGACACCACUCGACCCUGCCAAAAAGAGCAAUUAAUGGGACCAGAAGGGCGGGAGGUGGGAGGGAAGGCGGGGAGUGGGCGAUGAGCAGAGCCUGGCUUUCUAUCCCAGGACAGCGUGGUGUUCUCAAGGGAAUUUAGCCAAACAUUUCGUCCUAACCUCAACAACAGGUCCUCGUGAGUCCUCAUACAACCUAUCCUUAGGCGGUAACAGGCUGCAGCUGUUGAAGUCUAAUUUCACUCUAUUGAUUGCCAUGUAAGACAUGCCUGUGCCUGCUUCCCCUUCGCCUUCUGCCAUGACUGAAAGUUUCCUAAGGCCUCCUCAGAAGCCGAGCAGAUGCCAGCAUCACGCUUCCUCUAAAGCCUGUGGAACCAUGAGCCAAG
rnacentral:lncRNA from 1 species